GACGUAGGGGGCCAGCGUUGUUCGGAAUUACUGGGCGUAAAGGGUUCGUAGGCGGUGCGGCAAGUCGGGAGUGAAAUCUCUGGGCUCAACCCAGAGACUGCUUCCGAAACUGCUGUGCUUGAGUGUGGGAGAGGCGCGUGGAAUUGCAGGUGUAGCGGUGAAAUGCGUAGAUAUCUGCAGGAACACCCGUGGCGAAAGCGGCGCGCUGGACCACUACUGACGCUGAAGAACGAAAGCUAGGGGAGCAAACAGG
rnacentral:rRNA from 1 species